CAUGGGACUCCUCAUCAAUCUAUAAAUGGAAAACUAUGGCUUUUUGAUGCUGCAAAAAAAAAACCUCCCCUAUUUUGAUUCAGUCCUUAAUAUAAUGUCCCAAUCCAUUUCUUUUACCAAAUCAAACAUGGGAAAGUAAGAACACCUAAAAGUGGAGUCCUAUAGAUGCUCACUUGGAAGUAUGCUCUAUCAAAUAUUGAGAUUUGCUGCAGAGUUGGUGCAGAUAGGAUGGUGCUGUAAAUUGGCUUGGAAAAGACCAGUGGUAUGUGCCACACCCAUUUUUAUUUAAAAUAUUGCUUAGAGACAGUGAAAAACUCUUUACAUCAGAGGACAAAGUGUAUUUUAGCUGUACAGUCCAAACUUGGAUAUGUAUACAUGGAAGUAAGUCUCAUUAUGGUUUGUUGGGCUUACUCCCAGGAAAUAAGAUACCAGAAUACAGCUGCAAUCUUAUGAUAUUCAUGAGGGUAAGUCAAAUUGAAUUCAUAGAGUGUAGGAAUGUGCUGUUCGAUGUUUGGGAGGGGGAAGAGUUUCAGUAUGUUAACUGUGUGCUUAAAUGAAACUGUUUGUUAUCCAUUAAAUAAUUCACUGUGACCUUUCAAACCAGGUCUGGACAAGGUCAAUUAUAAUAAAAUUAUUGAAUGGUUUAGUGAGAACAGCGUAGGGUCAGCUCGAUAUGGCUCAGCUACCUGCAAAAUGUGAAUCUAUAAAAUUUCAGUCUGAUUCAUAGAUGGGGGAAUGUUCUUGGGACCCUCCAGCUAUGACUAUUUGCUUUUACGAAAAGUGAACACUCUUUCGCCCCAGCUACUUUGUUCCAGAUGAAAUCUGUUAGGAACAUAUUACCAUCACAUCAGCAUACGAUGCAAUUACCAUUUGAUUUCCAUUUUACAAGUUUGUUAAAUGGAUGCAAUCAUCUCUCAAAUCUCUUGAAAGCAUUGUUAUGAUGAAAAGAGCACAUAAGAAAAGGACCCACAUGUUUCUUUGAUACAUUUUUAUGAUAUAAAAUGAGAGGCAAGAUCACAAUUCCUUUCUCUCUCUGCUGGAUACAGGGGGAAAUUCCUCAACACAUUUAUCUGCAAUGAUGCAUCAUCUCGUAACUCCUUUGCAUUCAAGAGUGGCAAAUUUAAAAGUAUACUGGUUUGUAGAAACAUUAUGCAGUAGAUGUAUAGCUUUGCCUCACUUUGGUGGGUGGUGGGGAAAUGAUGCAAUAAUUGAUAUCAUGCAGUGAUGUCUACAUUUACUGCACUUGCUUUAUGAUGAUAUUAUUCUGUCUGAAUGUUAAUACAGAACUGGGCACCUCACUGAAAUGAGUCAGUUGACUCAACUGGCUUGUGGCCCCUCCCAAGGCCAGAUAUACACCAUGUCCUCCCCCACUUCCUGCUGGUCUUCCUUUGUUCUAAUACCUUGCUCCGCCUCCUGCUUCUUGGAAACUCAGGUGCAGCCAAUUCCUCCUCCUCUGGAGUUGAAUCCAGCCCCCUCCUACCACCUGCAUCCUGCUCUUUCAUCUCUGUGCCGCUGCAAAAACUUACAGGCAGCAUUCCAGAGCGAGAGGGGCUUAUCUCACUUUCGUUGUGUGAAAGAAUCAAGUUUCUGUUUUCCUCUGCCUUUUCCUCCCCCUCUGCAGAUUCCUCUCUGCCGACCAUGUCUCCGACAGAGUUACAAAUACUUAGAAGUAAUAUAAAAGGUCCUUUACUAAUGAGAAAGUCAGUCCCCAUGGAGCACAAGCACUAUACAAAGACAAUAUAUACUCUGCCCAUCUUGUUUAACAGCUAAUAAUUUCCUCAUUUAUUUACUUAAUCCUUUGUGGCAUAUGACCAACGGCUCAGACCCCCAGUACUUAAUUCCUGCAAUGAAAAGUACCGGGGUCUAAUUCUGGCUGGAAGAUUUCUGCUUUGGAGCUUCUUCCUCCUAAUAAUAGAUGUUUGUAUGGUUGGUGAUAGUCAUUCAGUAGCAGGGGAGAUUGAGGAGUGGGGGGGAGUCCCAGUGUGGGCCCAGCUUGGGAAUGUUUUGAACAUUAAGCUAUUGUUUCUCUUUUAAAUUCCUUUUUUCUUUAAUGAUUUUGUUUGUGGAUUUUAUUAGUGCUGGACUCUAAUGAAGGUGAAAUAUUGUGGACCGAACUUUAGCAUUGCUUUCAUGAGUGAUGCCAAAAUAGCCCUUGAAGAUUGUAAUAAUAUUUGGGGUUUGAAUGCUAUUGAUUUUAUGGUGAGGAUUGAGCAAAUUGAUGGAGGAUAAGACUAUAUUCCACCUCCACUACCAGAGGCCAGUUGCCAGGAAUCAAAAGGGGGGAAAGUGAUGCUCUCUCAUGACUUGAUUGCGGGUCUCCCACAGGCAGCUGGUUAGCCACCAUGAGGUAAAGGUAAAGGACCCCUGGACGGUUAAGUCCAGUCAAAGGCAACUAUGGGGUUGCGGCGCUCAUCUCACUUUCAGGCUGAGGGAGCCGGCAUUUGUCUACAGACAGCUUUCUGGGUCAUGACUAAACCACAUGACUAAACCGCUUCUGGUGCAAUGGGACAGUGUGAUGAGUGCCAGAGUGCAUGGAGAUGCUGUUUACCUUCCUGCCGCAGCAGUACCUAUUUAUCUACUUGCACUGGCGUGCUUUCGAACUGCUAGGUUGGCAGAAGCUGGGACAGAGCAAUGGGAGCUCACCCUGUCGCAGGGAUUCAAACAGCCAACUUUCUGAUCAGCAAGCCCAAGAGGCUCAGUGGUUUAGACCACAGUGCCACUCACAUCCCUCACCCACCCAGGAUGCUGAACUAGGUGGGGCAAUGGGCAGGCUUUUCUUAUAUUCUUACCAUUAUUGUAGAUGAGAUGGCAGAAGACUGUCCAUUCCCCCCUUCCUUUUAAAAAGCACAAAUGCACCAACACUACAAGCAGCAACAGAACUACUAUCUGAGUGCCUCUACUAACAAAAGAGGGGAGACAAGAGAGUUCAGGGACCCUCCAAGGCACAGGAGAAGAUAGUAUGGUGAGGAUGGCAGAGGGAAGGUCAAAUCUGCAAAAAUGGUCUCUGCUUCCCCUCGGCAACAGAGGUGCCUCAAGUAGAUCAAAAGAGGUUCUAUGAGCUCCAGGGCACCAACCAGGCCAUCUCAAGCAAACCAAAAACAGAAUAUAAUAUUUGUUAUUCUGAGAGAUCAGUUUGUUUUGUUUUAUGAGCAAAGCAGGCUGCUGAAGAUUUGCAGAAAGUCUCAUUCUAGGAACCAGGUGAAGGCUGCUCCAAGGAACCACACUUCCUUCUCAGCUGCUCAUGAUAUAUUGCUGAUCUGAUGCCUGCAUUAGUUCUAACACAUGCUGAAUGUAAAAUUCUGUUGUCUUAUAAUGUCAUGUACUGUACUUGCCGACACCUCACAAAACCAGCAAUUCAUAAUGAUGAAAGAACGGAACCACCAAUGAAAAUUAAUGAGAUUUAUAGUUACAAUUAUUUCCUUAUAAAUAUUCAUUGCCCAUAUAUCUUUCUUAUAGAUGGUGAAGGGUCUCCUUGUAAGAUCUUAAAAGUGUGGUCGGUACCAGGAGAGGCAGUUUGCUAGGUAUCUUGGUCCCAAAUUCUUUAGGCUUUAGAUGUCAGUAACAAAAUAUUGAACUUGGCUUGGUAGCAAACAGGCAGUCAAUGCAGUCCUUCAAACACCCUACCAGCUGCAUGUUGUACUAGUUGCAACUUCCAAACUAGGUGCUGGAUAGCCCCUCAUAUAGAGAAUUACAAUAGUCUGAUUGUGAGGUUACCAAUGCAUGGACCACCAUGCUACCCUUGUCCAGGAAUGGUUAUAAUUAACCAGCCAACUGAAAUUGGUAAUGGGAGUAGAUUUUGCACACAAUAGCAAUUUCCAUUCCUAUGGUUUCUAGCAACUGGUAUUCAGAAGGAUUACUGGACACAACUGUGAAGACAGAGCAGAGCCAUCAUAUCAGCUGGUACUGAUAGAUGAUUACUCAUGGAUGGAGGGGAGGCAAUAAAGAAGAUAUUUUUCACUGUAUUUACCAUCAUGCAAUUUGCACAAUUAUGUGCUCUUAUGCAUGUCCAGUUGCCCUCACAAUGAGACUUAUGCCACUUCUGCAGCCUAUUUCGCUGGCCAGAGCUUCCAGCCUGUCUCCCAGCCUGUUUCGCUGGCCAGAGCUUCCCGGUAAGCGAGCAUGUAAGUAAGCAUUAGAAAUCCCCUCUAUCAUAGAAGUGCCUGCUUCACUGGUAAUGCUGAAACAGUGGAAUCUUCAAGGUGUGUUCGUAAGGACUCCAAAUAGAUAUAUAUUUCUUGAUUUUUUUGGCACUGCUGCCAGAAACCUAUCAAGGGAUCUUCUAAAAUGCAGAUUGGUGCAGCCAAGCGUAAGAAAUAAAAAAUGACAACUUGGAUUUUUAGCUUUAAACUUCCUGAAAGCUUGAUUCCUAUUCCUAUUAUUCCAAUGAGGAUUGAUUCAUAUUAAAAUUCCAACCCAUUUUAGUCUUUGUAAUGAGCCUAAAAUAGCUGCCAGCUUGCAGUGCUGGAAUUAAUGAUAAUUAAAUGUAACACAAAAUGUAUUUCCAUAUUUUGUAUUGCUCAAAUGAUUUCAUCUCAGAUGUACUCUGAUUCUUUUUUAGCGAUGACUACUUCUAUUUAAUCUCUUUUCCAAUUUUAAUUUGAAUUUCAUAUUGUUCCUGACUGUUUAAUGAAUAUUUUGGGAGAUGGCCAUAGUGUUGUUAAUUAUACCAGAGACUGAGUAUAAUUAAUUCUUUUGGACCCAAAGUCAGUUGGUUAAUCGAUUUCUGAUGGAACUGGAGAUUAAACACAGAUAGUUCACUUUUUCUUUCAUUCAUUUUAAUUUUCUCCUCUUCAGUUCAACUAUGGAAAGGCGUUGCUGGUAAAUCAAUUCAGGGGCACAUUUUGGUCAUUAUCCAGGUGCUAAUAAAUGGAUGAUCCUUUCAGCUAUUCACCUUCCUAUCGAGCUUUCAGUGGGCAGGUGUAUAGGGAUUUCAAGUUUUGUUCUGCCAAACUUAUUUAUAAUUCGUAUUUCAGUUAUGUUUAAAUGUCUGUCAACAGGAAGAACUAUGCUUAAGUGCAAAAUGAAAAAGUAUCCGGAUGUCGUUCUCCAGGAGAUCUAACAAAAGCAACUUGGAAAGAGGUUGGACUGAGGCAGAAGUCAAUCUUCAUGUAAAUGCAGAAUAAAUUUAUGCAGCUAAAUUUGAUUUUUAGAUAAUGGCUUUAAAGGGCUUAAGUGAGCACUGGCAAUAUAUUAGUAUUCUGGGCAGAGUCUGCUUCCAUGUAUUUUUUUUUCUGAGGCUAUAAAUAAUGGUGUGUUUUAAUUUUUGACAGCAGGAAAAGCCCCAAAGGCUCUGAGGAGAUAAUAAAAAAGGCUGAAUGGGAAAAAAAAAUUAAAGCAGAACAAAUGCAGAACCUUCCAGCUAGUCAAUGAGAGCAACCUUGAACAUUUUUCAUUUACUGCUAUUCAGAUAUGAAUGGAUAGCUUUAGGUUCCACUCAACAUUGUCUCAUUGCCCUGCCCUUUUUUCUUGCUACUGCAAAGUGGCUUAGCUGAAGGAUUGUUUAUGUUGUUUUCUAACAGCUCCAGCCUACAGAACCUAUACUGUUUAGAUAGGAGUCAACAGAUCUCCAAUGUCAGAUAACACUGGGUGACUGACAGGUUGGUAUGUUGGUCACGUUUGACCUAAUCCAGUGGUCUGCAGGGCUCAAGAUGGCAGGGUGGAAGAUGGAUGUGCAAGCUUCUCUAUUCUUCCUUCUUCCUUCCCCAGAGCUGGAUUUAGGUUUGAGGAGGCCCUAAGCUACUGAAGGUAAUGGGGCCCUUUAUAUAUCCAGCUGUCCUUUGUCAACAACCAAUUGUCACUGUUUUUUGUGUUGAAUAUAAGAUAUAUGGUAAUUUUUGGACCUAAUAGGUAUCUAAAGCAUUUUGCACAUAACAAAAUAUGUAUUUUAUCAAAUAAUUGUUGAACUGAAAUACAAUUAAGAAGAAGUAUAUUAAUAGUGAAAUACAAUUAAGAAGUAGUAUAUUUUUGGGCAGAGCCCAAGAGAGAGGGGCCCUAAGCUAUAGCUUGUUUAGCUUAUAUGUAAAUCCAGCACUGUCCUUCUCCACCCCCCAAUACAUAUUUUUGUAUAUUUUUUUUGUACAUAUUUUUUGUACCUCCCCAUUACUCCCAAUGGGAGGGAAAAUAAAUUUGCCAGGUCCAGGACUGCCAUACUUACCUCCCUCCCCAUCUGGGGGCAUAAUGAAGGAAUUGGGAAGGUUUUCAAUCCCUAACCUCUUGCUCUCCACCUCUGCCAUGCCCCCAGCACACACACCUUUUGCUGGAAGCACUGUUAGAGAGUACUGACAGCAGAGUGACAAAGGCAGUGGAGCUUCCCAACCUAUAACAGAAUGGUUUGCAAGGGCAGAUUUUCCCCUACAUCUGUAGUUCUCUUUUUCUGUGGGAUCUGCUGUAUCAUUCAAUCCUGACAAGCCCUCCCAGGCACCACAGGAUCGUAGCCUUACCCAAAUAUAUUAGAGUGGAUGUUUCCUACUUAACAUACUCCCUGUAUAUUUUUUCUGUGUGCUCUACAAUAGAUGAUUUCCUCUUAUGCUUCAUUUCUUAUUUCUAGGAACCAUGUCAAGAUGGUCACAUUAACAUUCAUCGUGAGGAUUGCGCUUUCAGAAGUCAGACAUAAAG